UACGUAGGGGGCAAGCGUUGUCCGGAUUUAUUGGGCGUAAAGCGCGUGUAGGCGGUUUGGUAGGUCCGUUGUGAAAACUCGAGGCUCAACCUCGAGACGCCGAUGGAAACCAUCAGACUAGAGUCCGGAAGAGGAGAGUGGAAUUCCUGGUGUAGCGGUGAAAUGCGCAGAUAUCAGGAAGAACACCCGUGGCUAAGGCGGCUCUCUAGUACGGUACUGACGCUGAGACGCGAAAGCGUGGGGAGCGAACAGG
rnacentral:rRNA from 1 species